UACGAAGGGUGCAAGCGUUAAUCGGAAUUACUGGGCGUAAAGCGUGCGUAGGCGGUCUUUUAAGUCCGUUGUGAAAGCCCUGGGCUCAACCUGGGAAUGGCAGUGGAUACUGGAAGGCUAGAGUGCGGUAGAGGAGGGUGGAAUUCCCGGUGUAGCGGUGAAAUGCGUAGAGAUCGGGAGGAACAUCAGUGGCGAAGGCGACUACCUGGCCUGUUCUUGACGCUGAGGCGCGAAAGCUAGGGGAGCAAACGGG
rnacentral:rRNA from 1 species